rnacentral:rRNA from 1 species
AUUGAACGCUGGCGGCAGGCCUAACACAUGCAAGUCGAGCGGAUGAAGGGAGCUUGCUCCUGGAUUCAGCGGCGGACGGGUGAGUAAUGCCUAGGAAUCUGCCUGGUAGUGGGGGAUAACGUCCGGAAACGGGCGCUAAUACCGCAUACGUCCUGAGGGAGAAAGUGGGGGAUCUUCGGACCUCACGCUAUCAGAUGAGCCUAGGUCGGAUUAGCUAGUUGGUGGGGUAAAGGCCUACCAAGGCGACGAUCCGUAACUGGUCUGAGAGGAUGAUCAGUCACACUGGAACUGAGACACGGUCCAGACUCCUACGGGAGGCAGCAGUGGGGAAUAUUGGACAAAGGGCGAAAGCCUGAUCCAGCCAUGCCGCGUGUGUGAAGAAGGUCUUCGGAUUGUAAAGCACCUUAAGUUGGGAGGAAGGGCAGUAAGUUAAUACCUUGCUGUUUUGACGUUACCAACAGAAUAAGCACCGGCUGACUUCGUG